rnacentral:rRNA from 1 species
UAGUCCACGCCGUAAACGAUGUCAACUAGCUGUUGGAAAACUAUGUUUUUCAGUGGCGCAGCUAACGUAGUAAGUUGACCGCCUGGGGAGUACGGCCGCAAGGCUAAAACUCAAAUGAAUUGACGGGGACCCGCACAAGCGGUGGAGCAUGUGGUUUAAUUCGAUGCAACGCGAAAAACCUUACCUAUACUUGACAUACUUGGAAUGCUUUGUAAUGAAGCAGUGCCUUCGGGAGCCAAGAUACAGGUGCUGCAUGGCUGUCGUCAGCUCGUGUCGUGAGAUGUUCCGUUAAGUCGGAUAACGAGCGCAACCUUACCCUUAUUUGCCAGCGAUUCGGUCGGGAACUAUAAGGGGACUGCCGGUGAUAAACCGGAGGAAGGUGAGGACGACGUCAAGUCAUCAUGGCUCUUACGGGGUAGGGGCUACACACGUGCUACAAUGGGGCGGUACAGAGGGGUUGCGAAGCCGCGAGGUGGAGCUAAUCUCACAAAACCGUUCGUAAGUCCGGGAUUGGGAGUCU